UCAUGUGACAUUGCAUGAUUACCAUAAAAACAGUUGUUCACCGUUCUAUAAAAAUCGCGUGUGAUCUUUUGGCGCUGCCAAGUGCUUCGGUAGACUCUCCGACAACCUCCUCCAUGAAGGUGGAUGCAACUACCACUUCUACCUCGCCGUCGACAGAUACCAGUUCAAGAUGGAGACGUUGAUGGACCUACUGGGCGUGGCAGGUCGGCGUCCGGGGUUUCCCAUGGUGGUCUGCUGCAGCUCACAUGACGAGCUUGACGCCGCCAGCUCCGCGGUCGCCAACGUCCCUUGUAUCUCUUUGGCUUCUCUGUUCUUAAAAGCUAUGUGCAUGAGCAGCUAAUGGUGUCGAAAGUUAUCAUAUUUGAGGCGUAUGACAACUUGUUUGGCAGCAGGUUCUUCCUACCAACCUGUACUGCUUUGUUAGAUAGAAGGAAAUACACAGUUGGCUUCUUUUUGCAUUUGAAACAUCGGUAGAAUCAAUAAUAUAAACGAUGUAUGGAUAGUACCAUCGAGUCUCCCGCACUGGCGCUGACAUCGUGCGAGAGUUUAAAAAGGACUCAAUGCCAGCACUAGUGCGGUGGCGACGGUGGUGCAAAAAGGACUAAAUGUGAGCAAAAGAUUACUUGUACCCUGGCCUGCCAAAGAAAGAUACUUUUUUAUA